rnacentral:sRNA from 1 species
AGCUGGAACCAAGAAGGCUGUGUCCCCCUUCCUCUGGGUGUCCUUGUCUCCUGCUAUCAGCCUGGGGCUAGGCCGAGUUCAGGGACUUCGCCUGGGACAGCAUGGGCCUCUGACUGGACGGGCUGCACCCCCAGCUGCAGACAAUUCCACGCACAGGCCACAGAACCCUGAGCUGAGUGUGGAUGUCUGGGCAGGGAUGCCUCUGGGUCCCUCAGGGUGGGGUGACCUGGAAGAGUCAAAGGCCCCUCACCUACCCCGUGGGCCAGCCCCCUCGGGCCUGGACCUCUUUCACAGGCUUCUGCUGCUGGACCACUCAUUGGCUGACCACCUGAACGAGGAUUGUCUGAACGGCUCCCAGCUGCUGGUCAAUUUUGGCUUGAGCCCCGCUGCUCCUCUGACCCCUCGUCAGUUUGCUCUGCUGUGCCCAGCCCUGCUUUAUCAGAUCGACAGCCGCGUCUGCAUCGGAGCUCCGGCCCCUGCACCCUCAGGGGAUCUACUAUCUGCCCUGCUUCAGAGUGCCCUGGCAGUCCUGUUGCUCAGCCUCCCUUCUCCCCUAUCCCUGGGGCUGCUGCGGCUCCUGGGACCUCGUCUACUGCGGCCCUUGCUGGGCUUCCUGGGGGCCCUGGCCGUGGGCACUCUUUGUGGGGAUGCACUGCUACACCUGCUACCGCAUGCACAAGAAGGGCUGCACACAGGACCUGGCGGAGUACCAGAGAAGGACCUGGGCCCGGGGCUGUCAGUGCUCGGAGGCCUCUUCCUGCUCUUUGUGCUGGAGAACAUGCUGGGGCUUUUGCGGCACCGAGGGCUCAGGCCAGUGAGUGAUACCCUUUUCUCUUUCUUCUGCUGAGACCAGAGUCCCAGUCAAGAAUUGGGCAGUGGCUCACGCCUGUAAUCCCAGCACUUUGGGAGGCCAA